rnacentral:rRNA from 1 species
UACGGAGGGGGCUAGCGUUGUUCGGAAUUACUGGGCGUAAAGCGCACGUAGGCGGACUGUUAAGUCGGGGGUGAAAUCCUGGGGCUCAACCUCAGAAUUGCCUCCGAUACUGGCAGUCUCGAGUGCGGGAGAGGUGAGUGGAAUUCCCAGUGUAGAGGUGAAAUUCGUAGAUAUUCGGAAGAACACCAGUGGCGAAGGCGACUUACUGGACACAUACUGACGCUGAGGUGCGAAAGCGUGGGGAGCGAACGAG